rnacentral:rRNA from 1 species
GCUGAGUCUUCGGACGAGGUCGGAGUGGUGGAGCCGGUGACCCGAGCUGGUAGUAGGUGAGUGAUGGGGUGACGCAGGAAGGUAGUCCAUCCCGGGCGGUGGUUGUCCCGGGGUAAGGGUGUAGGACGUCAGGUAGGCAAAUCCGCCUGCCUAUGUGUCUAGACCUGAUGCCGAGCCGAUUGUGGUGAAGUGGAUGAUCCUAUGC